UACGAAGGGUGCAAACGUUGCUCGGAAUUACUGGGCGUAAAGGGUGCGUAGGCGGUUCGUUAAGUCUGUCGUGAAAUCCCCGGGCUCAACCUGGGAAUGGCGAUGGAUACUGGCGAGCUAGAGUGUGUCAGAGGAUGGUGGAAUUCCCGGUGUAGCGGUGAAAUGCGUAGAGAUCGGGAGGAACAUCAGUGGCGAAGGCGGCCAUCCGGGACAACACUGACGCUGAAGCACGAAAGCGUGGGGAGCAAACAGG
rnacentral:rRNA from 1 species